ACAGUGGACGCGAGCAUCUUUGUUGUAAGUGUUUAAGAGCGUACGGUGGAUGCCUUGGCACCAGGAGCCGAUGAAGGACGUAGGAGGCUGCGAUAAGCCUCGGGGAGCUGUCAACCGAGCUGAGAUCCGAGGAUGUCCGAAUGGGGAAACCCAGCCACAGUGAUGUGUGGUUACCCGCGCCUGAAUAUAUAGGGCGUGUGGAGGGAACGUGGGGAAGUGAAACAUCUCAGUACCCACAGGAAGAGAAAACAACAUGUGAUUCCGUGAGUAGUGGCGAGCGAAAGCGGAAGAGGCUAAACCAUGGGUGUGUGAUAGCCGGCGGGCGUUGCAUUCGUGGGGUUGUGGGAUCCGUCUUGUCAAUUCUGCCGGAUUGGCCGACAGUGAGAAAUCAUCGUGUUAGUCGAAGUGGUCUGGAACGGCCUGUCGUAGAGGGUGAGAGUCCCGUAGACGAAAACAUGGUGACUGUCGUGACGGACACCCGAGUAGCAGCGGGCCCGUGAAAUCUGCUGUGAAUCUGUCGGGACCACCCGAUAAGCCUGAAUACUCCCUGGUGACCGAUAGCGGACUAGUACCGUGAGGGAAAGGUGAAAAGUACCCCGGGAGGGGAGUGAAAUAGUACCUGAAACCGUGCGCUUACAAUCCGUCAGAGCCUGCGCCACUUCGGUGGGUGGGUGAUGGCGUGCCUUUUGAAGAAUGAGCCUGCGAGUUAGCGGCAUGUCGCGAGGUUAACCCGUGUGGGGUAGCCGUAGCGAAAGCGAGUCCGAAUAGGGCGUUUGUAGUGGCAUGUUCUAGACCCGAAGCGGAGUGAUCUACCCAUGGCCAGGGUGAAGCGACGGUAAGACGUCGUGGAGGCCCGAACCCACUUAGGUUGAAAACUGAGGGGAUGAGCUGUGGGUAGGGGUGAAAGGCCAAUCAAACUCCGUGAUAGCUGGUUCUCCCCGAAAUGCAUUUAGGUGCAGCGUCGCGUGUUUCACUCUGGAGGUAGAGCUACUGGAUGGCCGAUGGGCCCCACAAGGUUACUGACGUCAGCCAAACUCCGAAUGCCAGAGUGUGAGAGCGCGGCAGUGAGACUGCGGGGGAUAAGCUUCGUAGUCGAGAGGGAAACAGCCCAGAUCGCCGGCUAAGGCCCCUAAGCGUGUACUAAGUGGAAAAGGAUGUGGGGUCGCGAAGACAACCAGGAGGUUGGCUUAGAAGCAGCCACCCUUGAAAGAGUGCGUAAUAGCUCACUGGUCAAGUGAUCCUGCGCCGACAAUGUAGCGGGGCUCAAGUACACCGCCGAAGCCGCGGCAUUCACAUAACACCCAUGCGGGUCUACGGGCCUGUGUGCAGUGGUGUGGAUGGGUAGGGGAGCGUCGUGCAGCCAUGGAAGCGCCGGAGUGAUCCAGGUGUGGAGGCUGCACGAGUGAGAAUGCAGGCAUGAGUAGCGAAAGACGAGUGAGAAACUCGUCCGCCGAAUGACCAAGUUCCUGGGCCAGGUUAAUCCGCCCAGGGUGAGUCGGGACCUAAGGCGAGGCCGACAGGCGUAGUCGAUGGACAACGGGUUGAUAUUCCCGUACCCGUGUGAACGCGCCCCUGGUGAAUCAGUGAUGCUAAGCGCCCUGAGCCGCCUUCGAACCUUCGGGUUCUCCGGUGUGUGGAUGCGCGUGAACCGAUCUGGUAGUAGCCAGCGAUGGGGUGACGCAGGAAGGUAGCUGAGCCAGUCAGUGGUAAUACUGGUGUAAGCGUGUAGGGCGUGACCUAGGCAAAUCCGGGUCACAUACAGCCUGAGACGUGAUGCGUAGCCGAUUGAGGCGAAUUCAGUGAUCCUAUGCUGCCGAGAAAAGCCUCUAGCGAGCUUUCACACGGCCCGUACCCCAAACCGACACAGGUGGUCAGGUAGAGAACUAAGGCGAUCGAGAUAACUGUGGUUAAGGAACUCGGCAAAAUGCCCCCGUAACUUCGGGAGAAGGGGGGCCUCGUCUGGUGACGGAACUUGCUUCCUGAGCUGGGUGGGGCCGCAGAGACCAGAGAAGCGACUGUUUACUAAAAACACAGGUCCGUGCGAAGUCGUAAGACGAUGUAUACGGACUGACGCCUGCCCGGUGCUGGAAGGUUAAGAGGACCGUUU
rnacentral:rRNA from 1 species